CCUACGGGUGGCAGCAGUGAGGAAUAUUGGUCAAUGGUCGUAAGCCUGAACCAGCCAAGUCGCGUGAGGGAUGAAGGUUCUAUGGAUCGUAAACCUCUUUUAUCAGGGAAUAAAGUGUGGGACGUGUCCUAUUUUGAAUGUACCUUAUGAAUAAGGAUCGGCUAACUCCGUGCCAGCAGCCGCGGUAAUACGGAGGAUCCGAGCGUUAUCCGGUUUUAUUGGGUUUAAAGGGUGCGUAGGCGGCCUUUUAAGUAAGCGGUGAAAGUCUGUGGCUCAACCAUAGAAUUGCCGUUGAAACUGGGGGGCUUGAGUAUGUUUGAGGCAGGCGGAAUGCGUGGUGUAGCGGUGAAAUGCUUAGAUAUCGCGCAGAACCCCGAUUGCGAAGGCAGCCUGCCAGGCCAAGACUGACGCUGAGGCACGAAAGCGUGGGGAUCAAACAGGAUUAGAUACCCGAGUAGUC
rnacentral:rRNA from 1 species